AGCGAACGCUGGCGGCAGGCUUAACACAUGCAAGUCGAACGCUCGUCUUCGGACGGGAGUGGCAGACGGGUGAGUAACACGUGGGAACGCACCCUUUGGUUCGGAAUAACACAGGGAAACUUGUGCUAAUACCGGAUACGCCCUUUUGGGGAAAGGUUUACUGCCGAAGGAUCGGCCCGCGUCUGAUUAGCUAGUUGGUGGGGUAACGGCCUACCAAGGCGACGAUCAGUAGCUGGUCUGAGAGGAUGAUCAGCCACACUGGGACUGAGACACGGCCCAGACUCCUACGGGAGGCAGCAGUGGGGAAUAUUGGACAAUGGGCGCAAGCCUGAUCCAGCCAUGCCGCGUGAGUGAUGAAGGCCUUAGGGUUGUAAAGCUCUUUUGUCCGGGACGAUAAUGACGGUACCGGAAGAAUAAGCCCCGGCUAACUUCGUGCCAGCCGCCGCCGUAACAC
rnacentral:rRNA from 1 species